UAAAGAGUAGAGAUGUAGCGUGAAGUGCUAGUGGAUGGGAUGUUGCCACUAGACGAAAAUGAUUUUGCGACUGCUUCUCGCAUCCGCUUAA
rfam:Atopostipes suicloacalis DSM 15692 genome assembly, contig: EJ15DRAFT_scaffold00021.21